rnacentral:RNase_P_RNA from 1 species
ACACAGAGUGCCAUAUUAUCUAACGGAAACCUGUCGGAAUAAAUAACGGCAGAGUAGCGUGACAGAAAAUAACCGCCCGGCGGACAACGCGCCGCCGGGUAAGGGUGAAAAGGUGGGGUAAGAGCCCACCGGGGUCGAUGGCAACAUUGGCUGCCGCACGCCUUAUGGGUUGCAAGGUCAAGUAUACCGGCAAUUAAGGGUUACUCGCCCGCUGCCGGGGGGUAGACUGCGUCAGAUAAAUGACGGACCGCGGCGGCCGUUCGCAUCCGUGCGAUAACGACCGUGGCGACAUAACCCGGCUUACAACCCGGCCGUCCUC